rnacentral:rRNA from 1 species
AUUGAACGCUGGCGGCAGGCCUAACACAUGCAAGUCGAGCGAGCGGCGGACGGGUGAGUAAUGUCUGGGAAACUGCCUGAUGGAGGGGGAUAACUACUGGAAACGGUAGCUAAUACCGCAUACCAUCAGAUGUGCCCAGCUGGGAUUAGUUAGUAGGUGGGGUAACGGCCAACCUAGGGGACGAUCCCUAGCUGGUCUGAGAGCAUGACCAGCCACACUGUAACUAAGACACGGUCCAGACCCCUACGUGGGGAGGCAGUGGGAAAUAUAGCACAAUGGGCGCAAGCCUGAUGCAGACAUGCCGCGUGAGGGAAAAAGGCCUUAGGAUUGUAAAGCACUUUCAGCGGGUAGGCGUUACCCGAAGAAGAAGCACCGGCUAACUCCGUGCCAGCAGCCGCGGUAAUUC